GCGCACUCCGACCGUUCCGACGAGGGAGCUUUGCACUCGCUGAAAAUGACUCGAAAGCUGCCCCGCCUCUCCGCCUCCCAACCCCGGCGCCCGCUCGGCGCCACCCCGCAGCUCCCUGGCAGUCGGCUCUUCUUUCCUCCCAUCCGUCCCCCGUUUCUGGACCCGCAGACUACGCUCCUGUUCCAGCCCACCUACUCGUCCUUCUGCCCCAUCUGCUACCCGUCUCUGAACCAAUUCGUCCCCGUCCACUACCCCGUCUUGGGCAUCGCCCUGCCGAGCUCUUCCUGCCUGAAUCUUCAUAAGAUCUGCAUCUGCCGCCCUCAUGUCCGUUGGGGCCCCAACUUCCACUACGUCCCUCCCUAUCCCCCCACGCCCCCGCCCAGCCCCUGCUUUUAGAAGCUGCCUACAGCCCGCCCCCGCCCAGCCACCCACGCGGCCCUGACGAUCCACGACCCCACGGAGGGGCCCCUGCAGGCACCGUGCUCGGGCAGCGAAGGAGCGGACCCUAGGGUCCCCGCGGCCUGGCUGUGGACACGGGGACGCAGGACCACGGACACCCACCCUCGGCCUCCGCUGCCUGCUCAGCCAGCCGCGCCAGCCUCUGCAUUUGGCAAUGGCUUCCCCGUGGGCCUUGGUCUGGAACCACGGAGCAAACUGCAGGCCCGAGACAGAGAAGGGAGAGCACGAGGAAGCAGCGCCUCUGCUCGCUGGGAGAGAAACGACUGGCCAAGGUGAGGCCUAACCACAUGCCCAUGACCUCCGGGUCUGUCCCGUGACAGGAAGCCCUUUCCUGGAGGUGUCCACGGGCGGUUGGGGUAAGGGCUGGGUCGCCAGGAGCUGGGGCUGUGGGAGUGCUGUAGCCUGGAGACCGUGUGGGACACCGUUGCCUGGAGAAGGCAGAAGCCCGGGGCCAGGGAGAGAGGCACAAGGGAGCAGAGAGCGCAUCGAACCCGAUGGAGCAAUGCCAAGGCCAUGGCGGGACACCCCAGGGAGAAGGUGAUCCAGGAUGAGGUCCGUCAGAACCAGAUCUUGCAGGAGCUGUACCUCAAAGGGCUACCAGCCCAGAACGUCUAUGCGCGGUAUCACGUGAACCCCUCCACGAGGUCCACAGAUCACCAGGAAGCCCAUGUCUUGGCAUGGUAACCUGGAGGAGCCUGGAGACGCCAGGUUUCGGAAUCUCAUUCACCACGCUGCCCAGGGACCAAGGAAGAGGGACCCAGACACAGACCGAAAACCAGGAAAGUGCAUGGGACUCAGUGCCCCCCCCUCAACCCAGAAUGCCCAGAUUGCAGGCUGAACCACUGCAGGGUCUGCAAUGACAUCGCUCUGUACAAGGCUCAGAUGUGGAGCCUGGGAGGAGAUGAUGGCCACCAGUGGCAUCCCAGCAGUGGACUGAGGCGCCGGAUUUCAUGCCUUAAGUGUGCACUGCCCCCAAAAAUAAAUUUUUUAUGUUACUUUUGAGCCAUUGUAUAAUUUAUACCCAAACACACUUAUGAUAGGAACCCCAA